GAUGAACGCUGGCGGCGUGCCUAAUACAUGCAAGUCGAGCGAACGGACGAGAAGCUUGCUUCUCUGAUGUUAGCGGCGGACGGGUGAGUAACACGUGGAUAACCUACCUAUAAGACUGGGAUAACUUCGGGAAACCGUAGCUAAUACCGGAUAAUAUUUUGAACCGCAUGGUUCAAAAGUGAAAGACGGUCUUGCUGUCACUUAUAGAUGGAUCCGCGCUGCAUUAGCUAGUUGGUAAGGUAACGGCUUACCAAGGCAACGAUGCAUAGCCGACCUGAGAGGGUGAUCGGCCACACUGGAACUGAGACACGGUACAGAGUCCUACGGAAGGCAGCAGUAGGGAAUCGUCCGCAAUGGGCGAAAGCCUGACGGAGCAACGCCGCGGGAGGGAUGAAGGUCUUCGGAUCGUAAAGCUCUGUUAUUAGGGAAGAACAUAUGUGUAAGUAACUGUGCACAUCUUGACGGUACCUAAUCAGAAAGCCACGGCUAACUACGUG
rnacentral:rRNA from 1 species